UCUAUUUGCUAUGGGAACUCCCAGUGUUGUUCUCCCCAGUGUGUGUGUACCAGAAAGUGAAAACAAGUGGGAAUGGGAAAUGCAAAGCAGUGGCAGAGGCUUAAAAGCAAAUUCUCCAGCUCAUGCUGAGCUCCCCUCAGCCCAUCCUGUGCUCUGUUCCUCUGCAGCAUCUCGUGCUCCAGGAUGGGAAAAGCACAAGUCAGGAAAUGAAUUACAACCAGAUGGAUAAACAAACUUUCAAACAACAUGAGAAGAGCCCUUCAAAGGCAGGAGUGAGGCAGAGCCCUGCCCAGCCCUCGGAGAGUCCCUGCUUGCCGGCCCCAGCAUCCUGCUCCAUUCCCAGCAGUGGGAUGCUUUGUGCAUUACCAGAACAGACUCACAUUCUGCUCACUGUGGCUCUGAGGCCUCUGCAGAAGCCUUUGUAAGAAACAAGGACAGCUCUCAGGGCCUCUGUUCCUUACAAGAGUGAAUCAUCAUUUCCUGCUGCUCCGAUGGAUGGAGGCUUUGCCAUGAGAGGAUGUGGGUUUCGUUCCAAUCAGCAGCGUGAAUUUCUGAAAAACAGCAUUAAAGUGGAUGGCAGCUCCACACUGAGCA